rnacentral:sRNA from 1 species
AGGUAACAAAACUAGCAUCACAAGAUUAUACCAACUUGACCAAAGGUCUGUUUAGUGAUUUUGUAAUGGACGUUAGGCCAUCUCCAACGCUGGGCUCUGUUGAAAUUUUGCAGAGUCUCUGUUGAUUAUUUUGAUUAAAAUUUAAUCAAACUGAAAGAAAAACUAGAGAAGCGUUUCUGUGGAGAGAGUUUAUGAGGGAAUGAGAGAGGCGAACAUGUGGCAUACAUUCAUUGGUUAUCUUCUUUAAACAAAAG